CGUCUAGGUGGUUAUAUAAGUCUGAUGUGAAAAUGCAGGGCUCAACUCUGUAUUGCGUUGGAAACUGUAUAACUAGAGUACUGGAGAGGUAAGCGGAACUACAAGUGUAGAGGUGAAAUUCGUAGAUAUUUGUAGGAAUGCCAAUGGGGAAGCCUGCUUACUGGACAGAUACUGACGCUAAAGCGCGAAAGCGUGGGUAGCAAACA
rnacentral:rRNA from 1 species